UACGUAGGGUGCAAGCGUUGUCCGGAAUUAUUGGGCGUAAAAGAGCUCGUAGGCGGUCUGUCACGUCGGCUGUGAAAACCCGAGGCUCAACCUCGGGCCUGCAGUCGAUACGGGCAAACUAGAGGUACUGCAGGGGAGACUGGAAUUCCUGGUGUAGCGGUGAAAUGCGCGGAUAUCAGGAGGCAACACCAGUGGCGAAGGCGGCACUCUGGGCCGGUACU
rnacentral:rRNA from 1 species